rnacentral:RNase_P_RNA from 1 species
CUUGUCGCUGGUGCUUUGGCACGAGAGGAAAGUCCGGGCAGCGCAGGGCAUCCCACUUCUGAAACAGAAGCUAUUUGUAAAAGGGUAGGAGAGGGCAGAAGAGAAUGACCGCCCGUCGCUACGGCGGGUAAGGGUGAGAAGGCGGUGUAAGAGACCACCGACCGUUCGGGUGACCGACGGUGCCGUGCCCGCUGGGAGCUGCAAGUUCGCGUAUACCAUCGUCUGAGGGUUGCCCGCCCGACUCACUCCGAUGGAGGGUAGAACGCUUGAGCCGAGGGGUGACCCGAGGCCUAGACAAAUGACAGGCGCUGCAGUGCACGCACUGCAGAACAGAACCCGGCUUACAGGGACUC